UGUAAUAUUGUUUGAGACAUCAGGGGCCUGUUGCACAAAAGUAGAAUUAAGACAUCCGGGAUAAAUGACUCAGCUGAGCUCAAUGAAGCCAAAACAUGUGCGUCCAGGCUUAAUUGGUUGCACAAAGACCAAGCCAGGAUGAGCAGACACGGAUUCAUUAAGCCAGGUGAAACCAAUCCUGGAUAGGUGCGCGCUCACGGCUCACUCAAAUAGACCCCGCCACAGAUCACAGAUUAACUGAUUUACCAUGGCAACUAGAGCCGCGUACUUUUCCCCGUCGGAAGCACAAAUCCUCAUGGAGGCAUACGAGGAGGUAAAAGAUAUAAUUAAGAAGAAAGGCAACACCGCCACAGUGAUAAAGCAAAGAGAAAAAGCGUGGCAAAGUAUUGCAGACCGCCUGAAUGCGUAAGUAGUGCACAAUUACACACUCACCGCUCCGCUGAAACAUCACAAUUACAAUUCAAAUAUUUAAUUCACAUCUCCAAAAAUGCAGUUGUACUGUAAUUAUGAAACGGUUAAAUUUUUAAUUGAAAUGCACUGCAGAUAUGAGUGAAAUUGUGUAAAGUAACUCCAUCACACUGUAUAAAGCUAUGAUAAAUUUUUUGAUAUUUUUACUGAAAACAAGACAAAAAUACCAAGUAAUUUUUUGCAGUGUGACUCCAUUAAAUGUGUGUGUGUGUGUGUGUGUGUGUGUGUGUGUGUGUGUGUGUUAAGAUUAAACAUGAACGGGCCAAAACGGACAUGGCAGCAGGUCAAAAUCAAAUACAAGAACAUUCUGCAGAAUGCAGUGAAAAAGAAUACCCACAGACAAGGCACGGGUGGUGGGUCACCAAAGGCUGACCUUACCCCAGCAGAGGACAUGGCCUUGGAGCUAAAUAAAGGCAGGCCCGUCUUAGAGGGGAUCCCUGGGGGAAAGAGACGAGCAUAGGUUCCUCCCAAGAUGCCACCCGCUUCAUUCAAGUGCCUGGCAGCACUGUGUUCCUGUUAGAGCCACCAGCACAAGCACCAGACGAUGCUGAUCCAGGUGAAGGCCCCAGUGCAGCAGCAACAGCACAUGAUGGAGACGAUGAUGAGGAGGAGACCAUCUCUCUGGAUUCCAGAAGGCAUGAGGACCCAGAUGCUAUACAGUGGGAAAACCAGCCUGGCAACAUAAGCUCACAAGCUAUCAGAAAGUUGUAUGGCAACCACCUCCGGCGCCAAAUAGAACUGGCAGACAUAGACAUUCAGUACAAGAAGAAAAAGAUGGAAAAUCUUGCACUGGAGUCCGAAAUAAAAAGAGGACAAUUAGGAAACUGGACCUUGAAAUAAAAAAACUUGAGAGGGAGCUCCAAGAAGAUGACACAGCUCAAAAUAAAAAUUAGGUAUAUUCUCGUAAAGUCAAGUGAGCCAUGACAUAUGAGCUCUUAUUGUGAGCACACAGGACGGUGGCAUCUUUCUAAGGUUUUUUUUUUUUUCCCAGCAAUCAGUACAACCAAGUCAUCGUUAUAAGGCAUCGCCCUCUUUUGCCCACCCCCAGCACCAGGUGUGGCCACUAGCCUAUAUGAAGGCCCAAAAUUGUGUGUUCCUUUCUGCUCUGACAAUGGCAUGCCCAUUCGUGCGAGAUGUGGUGGAUGAAGAAGCACUUGUGCUGAGGAGAGCCUUCAGGCGAGAAAGGGUCUUCAGGGACCGGUUGGACCCACUGGCCUUCCCUGAUGACCAUCUAUAUGAAAGAUACAGGUUUUCUGCAGAUGGCAUCAGGUAUCUAUGCAGACUACUGGGUCCCAGGAUUAAGCACCGCACUGCACGGAGCCAUGCACUGAGUGUGGAGCAAAUGGUUUGUGUGGCCUUGCGCUUUUUGCUAGUGGAGCCUUCCUGUACUCAGUGGGGGAUGCAGAACAGCUGAACAAGGCCACAAUUUGCCGCACAAUAAGGAGUGUGUGUCUGGCUAUCAAAGCAUUAGCAGAUGUCUUCAUCUCCUUCCCUGGCCACAGAAGACUCUGUGACAUCAAAGAGGAGUUCUAUAUGAUUGCAGAUGGUCUGCAAUGCUGACUGUGUGAUCAGCAAUGUUGUGGCAAAAUGGCCUGGCUCAGUCCAUGACUCCAGAAUCUUUCGGGCCUCUGAAAUCUAUCAGUGCCUAUCACAAGGUGAAUUCUCUGGUGUGUUGCUGGGAGACAGGGGGUAUGGCUGCCAGCCUUUUCUCCUGACACCUUUCACAGACCCCCAGGAAGCACAGCAGGCCUACAACCAUGCCCAUGCCAGGACCAGGGCCAGAGUUGAAAUGACCUUUGGCCUCCUGAAGGCACGCUUUCACUGCCUUCACAAAUUAAGGGUCAGCCCUGUUAGGGCAUGUGAUAUUACUGUGGCUUGUGCUGUCCUCCACAAUGUGGCCUGCCUGAGGAAGGAGAGGGCCCCCAGAGUGCCACCAGCCAUGGACUGGGACAAUCCGGCAAUCUUCCCCGAUGACGACAGUGGUCGGCUGCUGAGGGACCAAUAUGUGUUGAAUUAUUUUAGUUAGUAUGUGUGCUUUCAAUUUUGGUUAAAUAUGUCCUGCGGUGGCAGAGGAAUUUGGG